AAAAAAUUAAAUAAAAAAAUUAAAAAGAAACAAUCUCAUGGCAAAAUUUGGCAAUGUAAAUGAAAGGCUUUUAAAAGAGCAACAUUAGCUUCUCACUGAGGUGCAACUUUCAAUUUUGCAAUGCCGAGACUAAACAACCUUUAAAGGAGACGUGUGUUAAAUGAACAACAUGGAAAGCUGCCGGAAGCUUCCAGUGACUCAUUUACUGUCUUAGUUUGCCAUCUUGUGGCCGUAGCUGUGUAUAACAUCAUGUUAGUCCAGAAAUAAAUAGUGAGUGCAAAAUGAAUUUGAAAAAAAAUAAAUAAAUUCUAGUCAUAGGCUAUAUACCACUUAUUCUACAAAUAUUAAUUACAUCAAAAGAAAACUUUUUUUUAGUGUUAUUUUUUAAUCAACCGAGCAAUUUGAAGGGCAUAAGCAGAGUCUUAUGAGACGUACAGGGGAGGGAAGUUAGUGCAUGUUGGAGCCAUUUCCUCAAUGAACAGACGGCCGCAGAGUUAUUACUCAGCAUUGAGUCUCAGAGAUGUUUUAUCUUGUUAUUAACUCCGUUCAUUCUGAUACCCAUAUCUGUACUGGUGUGUGUGUGUGAGAGAGAGAGAGAGAGACAGAGGGAGAGAGAGGAAGAGAGAGAGAGGAAGAGAGAGAGAGGAAGAGAGUGCGGUUCAAAUAAACUCGUGUUUUAAUUUGAUUUUGUCAGAUUCAUAACGCCAGUUUUAAAAGAGCAUGACAUGCAAAUGUUCUUGGUGAUGUUUUAUUGCAAAAUAAUUUCCAAAUAAGUUGCUGAGGGAAUGAAAAUGCAGACGUGUGUAUGUGUGUGUGUGUGUGUGUGUGUGUGUGUGUGUGUGUGUAGGAGGGGUGAGGGGAAGGUUGUCAGUGCUUCUGGACGCAAUAACAGUUAUCUGUUUCCAGCUGUUUUACAAUACUUCAUUUUUAUUUUUAGUUCUUUUUUUAAUUGAAUCACUCUGCUCACUUUUCACACACUGUCACGCUGCUUGUCACGCUUAUUGAGUUAAGUGAGUUGCUUGUAACUCGUAUGAAACUACUACCCCAGGUGUCAUAACUAUAAUGCAUUUCCAGCUUCUGUUUUGAAGACAUUUUAUUUAUCUUCAAAUAAGGAAGUCACUUUGUACACUACUAUGAGUGAGACAGAAAAACACUGUUUGCAAUUAGCAGUGGAUUUAUUCAAUAGAUGCUGCAGUUUAUUAAAGCUGUGAUCUUGCUUUAAUAAACUGUAGUGAUUGUUACAGAGUGUCAGAAUAUGUGUGAGGUAGAAAAAUGAUAAAACAGCAGAUAAUGAUAAUGACAGCAGCACCACCAGAACCCACAGGACCAGAGAGAACAGAGACACCUGAUCUGAUCUGACCUGAUUGACGAUGUUCAACAGGCCUGAUAGAUUCUAACAUUAAGGAAUUCACCAAAACAACCAAAUAGAGAGGAAAUCCUGGACAUACUUUCACAUUGCCAUGGUGAGUGCUAAGUCACUCACCAUGGCUGACCAGUGAUAUGAGUUGAGAUAAUCAACUCAUAUAAUCUAAAUCUGAAAGAAGCCCAUUCCUCCAAAAGACAGACCACAUUCCAGAUUCCCGAGUUACAAACUGAUUCAUCACCUGUUCUAUGUAAACCUGAACCUGCUGCUUCGACUUAACACAGUCCCUCCACUUGAGAUCACGUAAUCUUUCCCAUUCCUGUUCCAGAUGUACUAACUUAAUGACAACUAAACUAUUUUCAUAUCAAUCACUAGUUUGCAUGUGGGCCAAUCUAUUUUGAACUUUCCUUUGAUCAUUAACUGAUUAUGUAACUUAGAAGACACGGACUAAACUAUUUUAAAGCAGGUCAUUUUACUGAGAUUUGAACUUCUUCACAGAUUUUUGUGUGGAGAAAAAUGAAACCUCAAAGAAAGGCACUGAUACAUCAUUAAUAGUUUACUACUUUUGCAGAUUAUCCAACAAAACUUGUUACUUUUCCAAGGAAAAUACAGCAGACAUCUACAUUUUAAAACGCUAAGAUAAAAUAAAAACAUCUUCUCACUACAGUUGUGCCAGACAGAAAAAAACUCAGAACACAAAGACAUUAUUAAAGGUUUUGUUGUUUUUUUAUAUUAUUACCAUCCUUGUAAUAGAUCCUUCUCAAACUGUAUUCAUUAGACAAUCUCAAUGUGGACAUUGAGAUUAGUUGGCACUGGUGGCUCGAACAAGUAGUCUUUUCAAAACUAUGUUAUGAACCUUUAAACCAGUGGUGUCCAAAGUGGGCCCUUGAGGGCCGGCAUCCUGCAUGCUUUAGUUAUCUCCCUGGUUUAACACACCUGGAUCAAAUGAUGGCUCAUUGGAAGGUCUAAGAAGAACACUGACAUGCUCCAUAGAGGUUGUUACUACCAUCAGAGAGAAACAUGCAGGAUGCCAGCCCUCCAGGACCCACUUUGGGCACCACUGCUUUAAACUAUCAUUAUCAGUUCUGCUUUGUGCAGUUAUUUACAGAGAAGUUGAUUAUUUAUUCAGUAAACAGAGAUAGGAAGCAGUGCACCAACAGAAAAUUGAUGGUGUUUCUGCUCACAGCACAUCUGUGGCUAGGAGAGGAGGACCAGCCCAUGACCCAUGACCCCGCGUUGACCCUCGAGCCCAACCAGCUUAACAACGAUCUUAGCCACCCUAACAACCAUAACCUGGGUGAGCCUAAGGGGCUGGACGCCCAUGUUGGAAACAAAGACUAACAACUUCCACCAGAGCAAGGCUCAGCGACGACCACAAUGAUGACAAUGAAGGUGAUGAUGAGGUGAAGGAGGAUGAAGGUUAAAUGAAGGAAAACACUAUAACAGAGACUUUAUUUAAGAUGAUUUAAAAAAAAAAAAACUACCGUCAGAGGGAAUGGAAAGAGAGAACUGUUCAAUGGGACUUCUAAGACGGUGUUUGAAUUUGCGAGUUGGACCUAAUGACUUUUGCAAGCAUCCUCGCACACUUAUCAAGAUGAUGGCAACCUUCCUUUGUGUUUCCUGUGGUCUGAAUGCAUCUUGUCUUUGUUGUCCUAUACGCAUUGCUUCUGUUUUCCUUCAGGUCUUCUUUCUUUUCUUUGGAUGAAACUACCUGUCUGAAGAUGACUUCCUGUAAACUAGCCCUGACAUUACCGACACAUUCCUGGAGCUAGAAAAAAUCUUUUGUAACUAGGACUGAAGUAUUAAAAACUUAAUGAAAUCUGUUUCCUUUUCCUGUAAAGUGAAGAUUAUCCUGUUGUACUUGGUAGAAUGUAUUCUACUGCUGAAUAGAAACUAAACUUUAGCAGACUGUUGACUGAGACCAAGCACAUUCCUGUCAAACUAGCACCUCGCGCCUCUCCUUUCAGCUGCCAUGACUCCCUGUUUAUGUCUCACAUCAUUCACGCUGAACAUGGCUAACUACAGACAUGGUCCUUUUUUUCAACAUGGUUCUGAAGGUAUGACUGGUUGGCUUUUGAUGAUGGCGGUGUUAGUAAGGAUUGCGAAGAUGGAACGGUCAAACUGCUAUAAAUUCAACACCCUCCAUAACCAGGCCUUCAUCCCACUACAGAACCUGUUCUUUUCAAUUGUUUUCUUUAUUUUUUUCAAUGCAGCUCUGGUGCUUGAUGUAAAUAGAAAGAUAUUCAGCAGCGCGACAAAGUCGACAUUUAAAAUGUUUGCCAUGAGGGAAAGUAGAGGAGUGUCGAUAGUUUAUUGGCCGUAGAAUCACACGGCCGCCGUUCUUCUCAAGUUUGAAACGGAAGAAUUAAAAAAAAA